rnacentral:lncRNA from 1 species
AACAAGUCAGCGUGUAUCUUCCAAGCUCCAAUUAAUAUCAGUUUCCUUUUAAUGAGUCACACAUUCACAAGCUAGAAGACACAGAACAAAACUGAAAGAACAGAAGCAUUACAAGAACAGAUUCUCCAAGGACACAAGUAACGAACAAGUGUGAUUAGGAAAGCUAUGUCUCAGUUUUAUUUGCAACUCUAAGAUCACAGUAGCUUUGCAUUUAAUAGAGUAAAUUUUAUAGAGCAGAAACUGUAUUCUUCAGUUCUUUGAGUUCUUGAUAUCAAAAACACACACAAAAAAGCAUCUACUUAUUUAGAAUAAAAGAAUGCUGACGAUUACUUCUAAGCUCGGUUGCCUUCAGGUUAUCAUUCAUAUAUAUGAGACUUAGAAGUUCUGAUACUCUAAAGAAAGCGUAAGCGACAGACGAAUGUUAAAUUCAAAAUUAAGCUUUGUAAAUCAAAAGUAUACGAUUCCAUAGAUAACUUUCAAAUUGCAAUCCCUAAACGGAGAGAAUCAGGAACGAGAAGAAAACUUACUUCGGAGAGAAGCUUAGCGGUGUCAGGAGGAAGCAAGACGUACACGUACACAACGGAUCAACGCUCCCUAAUAACACCAUUACAUUGUCAAAAGGGAACAUCUAAGCAAGGACUCAUCUACAACAACAACUAGAAGUGAACAUAACCCAGAAGAUCGAGAGAUACCUUUGAUUUCGUUUUCGUUUUCGUUUUCAGAAGAUCCAUGUGAGAUGGCCCAUCGAUUUCGAUUCAGAACAAACCCCUAGCCUUCGAUUUCAUUUUCUUCAUAAGAACAUAUGGCCUUCGAUUUCGAUUCUGGACAAACCCCUCGCCUUUGAUUUCGAUUUAGAACAAACCCAGAACCUUUGAUUUUGAUUCAGAACGAUCUUUGAUUUUGAUUUCGAUGUCGAUGACUGAAAGAGAGAUGAGAAAUAAUUAACCCUAUUGGUACCUUAGCGUAAAAUUAGGCGGCCCAUUCUUAGCCCACAUUAAAAAAUACGGGUAUAGGGUUAUAAAUUUUCAUGCGGGCCGGGCUAACCUUUUAGAAAUGAGCCCACGACAACAUCCCUAG